rnacentral:lncRNA from 1 species
UCACCUCACCUCACCUUCUUCGCCUUCUUCUUCUUCUCGCCCGGUGACACCCGAGAGCAAACGAGCAAUUCACCAGCUUGCUUCCUCUUGUCUGCUGCAAGGUGCUGAUCGGUGAUCGGGCCUUUGAUCUUUCCGGGAGGGAGGGAAGCCGUUGUGUCAGGCUGGCUCUCGACAUGUUCAGAUCCAAGGUCCAGGAGAUGAUCCUCAGGAGGAGGUCCAGGUCCAUGAACGGCGCCGGCUGCAACUUGUCCACGGCCCCGUGCGACGGUGGAGCCGGCAAGGGUGCUGCUGCUGCUCGUGCCACGUCGUUUGCGGUGCCGAGGCUGCUGCACUCGUCGUCGCUCCCGGCCGGCGGCCGCGCCGCGGUCGUCACCGGGAGCCCCGCGCGGGACCACGAGGCGAUGUCCGCCUACGCCAUGAGCCCGACGUCCGUGCUGGACGCGUCGGCGGCCUUCGGGUCGCCCGGCCCGGCCGUGGAAGCCGGCGGGGGCAAGCGCCGGCCGUGGUGCGACGGGUGCGCGGGGCCGCACGGGCUCGCCGACGUGCUGGACUGCGCCCACGAGGCCCAGCGGAGGAAGAGCGNNNNNNNNNNNNNNNNNNNNNNNNNNNNNNNNUCCUCCGGGGCGCCGUCAGGGCGCAGGCGCCGGCCCUGGUGCGGUCCUCCUCCCUGGACCGGCGCGUGGAGUUCGGCGUCAAGAACAAGAGCUCGUGGCUGCCGCUCCGCGCCGCCCGCCCGGCGGCGGCGGAGGCAGAGGAGGACGGGCCGUCGUCCGAGGACUACACCUGCGUCAUCUCCCGCGGGCCCAACCCGCGGACGGUGCACAUCUUCGGCGACCGCGUCGUGGAGGGCGACCGCGUCGUGGGAAGCCCGCCGCCGGCGCCGGCGCGCCAGGGCAGAGGUUUCCUCAGCCUGUGACGCCAUGCCUGCCAUCCAUAGUAGCAAGUCCUCUCCUCCAUGAUGCGUGCGUGCGUGCGUGCUCCGGUAAAGUAGUAAGUCUUGUUGAUGCUGCCAUAGUCUUGUCGUCCUAAUAUUUGUUCUUGGAUCGAUCUUGAUGAGAUGAUCAUGCUUCUUGGAUCAGAUGAUCAAACAGAUUGGGUUUUGUCUGUAAUAUAGGAAUUCUGCCUCUCUCUCUCUCUCUCUCUCUCUCUCUCUCUUUGCUGCAACAUGCUUGUACCAGAGUAAGAUAAGAUCACAACCGAACAUGUAAAAUUAGUACUAGCUUCUGAAUGAAUUGAUCGUUGAAAAUGCACUGAAUUCCUCGGCUGCCAGAGCUGCUGAUCAUCAGAGCAGUAGCUAGUGAAUGAAUUGAACACUGAAAAUGCACUGAAUUCCUCGGCUGCCAGAGCUUAUGAUCAUCAGAACAGUAGCUUCUGAAUGAGUUGAACACUGAAAAUGCACUGAAUUCCUUGGCUGCCAGAGCCAGCUUGAGACGAUCGGAAUCUGAGAACAUUACAUUUUCCAAUGAAGCCGGUUGCAAUCAAUCCAUCAAUCAAGCCAGGCUGCUGCUCUACUCUACCCUACCUCAGCUAGCCUUGCUGCAAGAUGCUCACUGCAUCUCCUCCAAUAAUUGGUGGCUUCCUGCAGCAGCAGUCGCAUAGAAGAGGGCAAUGAUUGAUGUCCCCUCCCCUGCCUGCGCCGGGCCCUGGGCCCUGGCCACUCGAGAGACUUGAGAACACGGCGGUGCCUUGUCCUAGUCAUGGGCCCGGAUUUGGCAUACGGUUGCAGCUAACCACUGCGGCGGUGGGCCAGGCCCCUCUCGUCUCGUCUAAUCUGAUCCGAUCCGAUCCGAUCGUCUCCGCCUCCCCCUCCGGGCUUGUGUUUCAGUUUCUUUUUCCUGACGCCGAUGGAAUUGAUGCCCACUCCGCCUCGCUAUCAUCUUGUUUCUUUCUCUCUUUCUAGAAUUCUAGUGAUGAUCAAUGCAUCGUGCUAUCAGCUGAUGUGGACCGUGGUGGGCAUCUAAUGAGUUCUUCUUAGUCCACUCCACUCUCUCGCAGGGCAGGUAGAUAGAUCAAGUGG